CCAAAUUUUCUAGGAACUAAGAACCUAUUGAGGAACGGCUUAUAUUAACUAAUUGCGGAGCUGCUUCUUACAACCAAACCAGACCAUAGGUAUGAUAGUACAUAAACACACCUGAACGACAACCUAUCUUUUAUCAAGCACUUGCUCAUGACUGACUUCUUUUUUUCGAAAGACCAAAAACAAACUAACAUGGGGAGGAACCCCUGUUAUUAAGAUAGGUGGUGAGUCUCUGAACCCUGGCUGCCUAGACAUUUUGCUAGACAGGAAGCUAUGUGUACAGAAAAAUAUACAGACUAUGUAAAAUAUGACAGUACAAAAAUAGCAAUUUACAACAGAGUUACAUGUAUUUAGUGGACAUCCCAGGUUGAUGGCAGAACUACUCGGAGGAUUGUAAACUCUAUCUUUUCAAUGAAAUGACAUUGCGUUUUCAAGAAAAAAAAUAGCAAUUUCACUCAGUGGCAAAAGCCACAUGUUUUUCAUUUUAGACAUGUAUAAAAGACAUGUAAAAUGGGGAUUGGACUUACCCACAUCCCAAGGCUGGAGGACUGGCCUGUCAUGCCAGUGGAACGCAUUGGUUUCAUGCUCAUGCCGCAUGGAUUCUUCAACUGUUCGCCUGCGGUUGACGUGCUUCUGAUGCUGCUGAUGUGAAGGAAACUGACUCGCCUAAAGUCAUCCAGAAUGGCGUUGUUUCCAAACUCUGAGCUUGCAGCGCCACAAAAAGAUAAACUACUGGAGUACUACUACGAAUGUUGCUCCGAAUAAAAUUUGUUUUCUUAUAUGGUGUGUAUGGUUUUCUGUAAUAUCUUUGUUGACUCCACGGAUUAAACGUUGGGCCACUAGUAGCAUGUUAUGAAGGCUGGACUGGCAUAAUGCAUGUAUAAAUAAAAGUCGUGUUAAACAAAUACAGCCAUGUCCCUUCUGGGGAAUAUUCUCGUGUCA